UGUUUUAAGAACACAACUUCAGCCAUCUUAAUGUUUGUUACAAUGGAAGUAGACCAUCUGCUCACAUCCUUCAUCCUUCUCCUCAUCAGUAACACAGGGUUCAGUGCUGAGAUCUCUGUAUUUGUUCAGACGGGAGAUUCUGUUCAACUGGAUAUACAGACACAGGAAAUACCACAGGAGUUUGAUGAUUUAUCCUGGACAAAUGAUAAAUCAGAGAAUAUAGUUAAAUAUAUACAUGCAUCUAAAACAGUAAGACCUCACUCUUCCUACAAGAACAGAGUGGAUUUCAAUGAUGAAACCUUCUCUCUCACACUGAAGAACAUGCAGAAGACAGACAGUGGACUCUAUACAGCAAGAACAAGUGGAGAAAAUAACACAGAUAUUAUAUUCAGAGUAUCUGUUAUAGACGCUGUGGAGGCUCCUGUUCUGACUGUAAACUCAAACUGGUCCAGCAGUGACUCCUGUACUGUGAACUUCACAUGCAGAGCUCAUGACCUCAUGAUAAACUCCAGCUAUCAGAACAACAGAUGCUCUCCAGAGGAAGUGACAUCACAUGAGAUCUACACUCUCAUCCUGAACUGCAGUGAGGAAUCCAUCAUCUGUAACCAUAGCAACCCGGUUAGCUGGAAAAAAGAGAGCAUAAACAUUACACAGAUCCGUGAAGAAAAUGAAAGACAAUCAAUCCCCCAUAGUCCAAGCUCGGGAUUCAAUUUAACCUUCAUUUUGAUCAUUACUGUGAUUCCUGUGGGAAUAUUAGUGUUUGGAGUUUUGCUCCUUUACUGUUGCUGCAAGAAUAAUAAAGCUGAUCCUGUCAUCCAGUGUGACUUGCAGGGGAAACUGUAAAUAUCGCUCAAGGGCAGAAUGAUCUCUUUCAUCAAGAAAAUCAAAACUGAAGAUAUACCACAAGUUUGCUGAUAAAGAUUAUUACUAAAGGAAAUAAAAAACAAAUGUCUCCCAACAAAAAGUACACAUACACAUGAAAAAUUUUCUACUUGCAAUUAACGUUUUGGAUAUUAAAUCACUAAAUAUUAUUCAAAUUGAGGAGGAAACAAGUGGAAAGGGGUUAAGGUAAGGUUACUGGUUCAGGAGACUGCUUGCAUAUUUAUUUGCUCAGACACUGAAAUAUGAAAUGUGUACAUGCAUUUGUUCAUUUGUAAAGCAGAGGCAGACACAAGUCACAUCUCUGUCCCCUUUUUGUAUAAAAUAUUGAGCAGACAAUCAUCAACUUGCCUUCAACAGCAAACAUGGUAUGUGGAGUGUAAUCUAAUUAUUUUAAAAUUACUGUCUGAAAGUAAGCAGAAAUGUACAUUAUUUUACAUAAACACUGUAGUCAACAUAACCUACCUUUUUCUCCUCGACACUACAGUACUUUUUGAGGAUCUGGCCCCUUCAGCAAUCCGGUUCAGUUAUAUUGCAGAGUACUGUAAUGUGGCACUUUUCUGGGUGUGAGAUGGCACUUUUGCAUAUUGUUAUUUGACACAUGGCAGAUCUCCCAGCCAAUGAGACUUCACUGUUAUAGAAGUGCAGUAGUUAUUUAUUUAGCAGACGCUGUUGUACAAGUGUACUUGUCUUGCACAGAAAGUUUGAGGAAACAUGAGAAGUAAUCAUUUGUAAUUUAUUUUAAUCUAAACAUAUAUUUAAAAUAGACUUUGUCCCGUCUGAAUGAAAACAUCAAUAUAGUCUCAAAGUCCUCUAGACGUAUGAUUUGUGGCCAGUGUUACACUUGCCAAAAGCAGUGUUAAACACAUACUGUAUACAUGAUUGUAUGCAUUAUAAAUAACUAUUUAACUGCACACAAUUUACAGAAAUUUUACAUUCCAUUGUAAAAUAUAUAAAAAUAGAAAAAGGUUAUUUUAAAGGGUUAGUUCACCCAAAAAUGAAAAUUCUGUCAUUAAUUACUCACCCUCAUGUCUUUCCAAACCCGAAAGACCAUUGUUCAUCUCUGGAACACAAAUUAAGAUAUUUUAAAUGAUGAAAUCCGAGAGGUUUUUUAUCUCCCAUAGAAAGCAACAA